rnacentral:rRNA from 1 species
UACGUAGGUGGCAAGCGUUGUCCGGAAUUAUUGGGCGUAAAGCGCGCGCAGGCGGUCCUCUAAGUCUGAUGUGAAAGCCCACGGCUCAACCGUGGAGGGUCAUUGGAAACUGGGGGACUUGAGUGCAGGAGAGAAGAGUGGAAUUCCACGUGUAGCGGUGAAAUGCGUAGAGAUGUGGAGGAACACCAGUGGCGAAGGCGACUCUUUGGCCUGUAACUGACGCUGAGGCGCGAAGGCGUGGGGAGCAAACAGG